rnacentral:lncRNA from 1 species
GUGCUCAUGUGCAUGCAGAGAAGCAGAAGGAGGGGCUCACUCUACCUCCCCCUCCUCCUGCCUGCCCUCUGGUCUCCCAUCAAUGCCAGUGCACUGGCAGCGCCCAGCCAGAAGCCAGCAGCAAGAGAACCCAGGUGAAGCCAUGGAUUGGUAUGAACCACCCCCACCCCAAGCACACAGCAGGGAAGAAAAGAGAGGAAGGUUUCAAGAGGGAAAUUCACACCCAAGCUGCAGACAACAGAUGCAUGUGAUUAGCUGUGUCAUGGCAUGCAGCAGUGUUUGGAGGACACGCGAGAGCCCGCUAAGGAAUGGUGAGCAGCAGUCACUUCAAGAGACAGACGAGGAAGGCUGAGCUGCCACGGCAGGUGUAACUUGCACAGGAAACAUUUGCACAAGUGGCCAGCGAGCCCCUUAUGCGCCCCAGUACCCCAUUUCUGCAAGCAUGGAACAGCCUUUUCCAGACAAACAGAAAACUUCUUCAACCAGACCACCUUGGGAAUAUCAGGACUGGUUUACAAUGGAAGAGACAAAACCAAGACACAGGAAACAUUUAAUCAUAAUACAGGAUAUAAUAUGAUCACAUGAUAUAUAUUAAAGAUAUGAACUCAAGUCCAAUAGAAGUUCAGAGGAGAAUGUGAGACUGGCCUUGAAAAAAAUGUAGUAGGUGAAAAGCAUUUUGAUGACAGCACAGCAAGAGACAAAUAGCAGACGUGUAGAAAAUGGCAAAAACAUGUUUGACACUCCUCGAUGUUCACCUCGCCAUUUCUGCUUCCUGGGUACAUAGGAAGGAUACAUUUCCAAGCCUCUCUUAAAGCCAUGUAUCUGCAGCCUGACGGAUGAAAUGUGGGUGGAGGUGAUAUAAGCCACAUCCAGUCCUGGCCUUUGAAAACAUCUUGUGAGAUCUUCCAGGGUUUCCAUGGAAACUUCAAGGAUGGCAUAGCAACAAGCAUAGUUUCCAGAUGACAUAGACAUAGGACAGAAGUGGCUAGCAUCGCUGAUUACUACUUGGACUUGUUUGUAGCUACUUGGAUGUGGCUCAGAAACUCCAUCCAAGCCUCAUUACACUGUGUUAAACCACUGAGAUAGAGGGUUAUUUGUUACAGCAGCUAACAUUAAUUACCCUAACUAGUACAACGAGCUAUAAUAGUAGAGGUCAAAGAGUUCAAUAGUAUCCUAGUAAAUUUCUUAGUGACAAGCCACACUGUGUUAUACCCAUUGGACUGGAAUUCUGGCAUUCUGCUUCCCAUUUUCCAAGACAGCCUUCAUUUUGGGAGCUAAGGAAGAAAUAACCUUUUUGCAUUUCCUGUGAAAGGAGAUGUACCUGUUAUAAUAAACAAACAUCUAUCAAGGCUAUCGAAUAAUGGGUUCAUGAAGGAUGUGCUAAAUAGUAUUUCAAAGUAAAAAGUGCAGAACAGACUGAGACCUUCUGUUCUCAAGCAGAUGAGAGCUUCCACAGUCAAAGGUAGCAGAUUUCAGGUUCCUUAUGGUUUCGGAACAAAUUUUACAAGAACAACAAUCCAGUAAUGUGAAAGAGAACAAUGCUACUCAGGUCUGCAUACAUUCCUUGAGGUCUUCAGACUGUUCAGUUCCCACUCAAUCUCCUUAACUUCAGCUAAGAGAAUAACAUAAGCUUAACAUCUAUCAACAAUGGCUCUACCAAAAGGAAGACGGUAAUUAAAUCCAAUGAAGAUAUUAAGUCAGUCAAAAAUAAUUAGGACAGCCAGCAAUCAUACACGUUUGUCUCCUGACACUGGGAAAUAGGAUUUUACAGUGACCGAACCCUCAGAGGGUCCUAGCAGUGCCUGGAAACUUGAUAUUUAGAAGUCAAUAUCAUUCAAUGGCAAAAUAAUUUUCCGGGGGGUGGGCCAGAAGUAAUUGUCACAGCCUUGCAGGCCUUCAAUAUAAAUUCUCAAAGCUUUUAAACAUAAUACUAAAAUGCACUGAGAGCCCCUGUUCCUUAGACACAGACAACUUCCCAUCUGCAGCAGAAAUGUGUAAGACCAACCACCU